rnacentral:rRNA from 1 species
CGUGCAGCCGGAGAGACAAGUCAGAUGUGAAAUCCGCGGGCUUAACCCGCGAACUGCAUUUGAAACUGUUUCCCUUGAGUAUCGGAGAGGUAAUCGGAAUUCCUAGUGUAGCGGUGAAAUGCGUAGAUAUUAGGAAGAACACCAGUGGCGAAGGCGGAUUACUGGACGACAACUGACGGUGAGGCGCGAAAGCGUGGGAGCAAACA